UACGGAGGGGACUAGCGUUGUUCGGAAUUACUGGGCGUAAAGCGCACGUAGGCGGAUUUGUAAGUCAGGGGUGAAAUCCCGGGGCUCAACCCCGGAACUGCCUUUGAUACUGCAAAUCUCGAGUGCGGAAGAGGUGAGUGGAAUUCCUAGUGUAGAGGUGAAAUUCGUAGAUAUUAGGAAGAACACCAGUGGCGAAGGCGGCUCACUGGUCCGGUACUGACGCUGAGGUGCGAAAGCGUGGGGAGCAAACAGG
rnacentral:rRNA from 1 species